UCAGGCUGUCUAGUCACAGAGGAAGGCUGUGCUUCUCUGGUCUCAGCUCUGAAGUCAAACCCCUCACACCUGAGAGAGCUGGACCUGAGCUACAAUCACCCAGGAGACUCAGGAGUCAGACUGCUCUCUGCUGGACUGGAGGAUCCACACUGCAGACUGGAGAAACUCAAUGUGGAACAUGGUGGAGAGAACAGAAUGAAACCUGGACUUAGAAAAUAUGUCUGUGAUCUCACACUGGACCUAAACACAGUAAACAGACUCCUCUCUCUGUCUGAGGAGAACAGAAAGGUGACAUGUAGGACAGAGGAGCAGCCGUAUCCUGAUCACCCAGAGAGAUUUGAGGACUAUAGACAGGUGCUGUGUAGAGAGGGUCUGACUGGGCGCUGUUACUGGGAGGUAGAGUGGAGUGGGAGAGGGGCUGAUAUAGGAGUGACAUAUAAAGGAAUCAGCAGGAGAGGA